rnacentral:rRNA from 1 species
GACGAACGCUGGCGGCGUGCUUAACACAUGCAAGUCGAACGGAAAGGCCCUGCUUUUGUGGGGUGCUCGAGUGGCGAACGGGUGAGUAACACGUGAGUAACCUGCCCUUGACUUUGGGAUAACUUCAGGAAACUGGGGCUAAUACCGGAUAGGAGCUCCUGCUGCAUGGUGGGGGUUGGAAAGUUUCGGCGGUUGGGGAUGGACUCGCGGCUUAUCAGCUUGUUGGUGGGGUAGUGGCUUACCAAGGCUUUGACGGGUAGCCGGCCUGAGAGGGUGACCGGCCACAUUGGGACUGAGAUACGGCACAGACUCCUACGGGAGGCAGCAGUGGGGAAUAUUGCACAAUGGGCGGAAGACUGAUGCAGCAACGCCGCGUGCGGGAUGACGGCCUUCGGGUUGUAAACCGCUUUCGCCUGAGACGAAGCGUGAGUGACGGUAAUGGGUAAAGAAGCACCGGCUAACUACG